rnacentral:rRNA from 1 species
AUGUUUGGCCCUAAAAAACAAGGAGGUAUGGGAUUUAAAGAUUUGGAGAUUUUUAAUUUGGCCAUGUUAUCUAAACAAUGUUGGAGACUGCUGAGCGAGCCAAAUUCUUUGUGUGCCCAAGUGCCUCGUGCAAAGUAUUACCCUUCAGGAAAUCUUCUGAAUUGUGAAUUGAAGAAGGGGAGCUCUUUCACGUGGCAAAGUUUAUGGGCAGGUAUACAAACAUUUAAAAGAGGACACAUCUAGCGUGUAGGAGAUGGGACCAAUAUCGAUAUCUGGGAGGAUUGUUGGAUUCCAAGUAGUCCAAAUAGAAGGAUUAUGACUAGGAGAGCCAACAUAGUGCUUGCUAAAGUUGCAGAACUUGUUGACCAUGAAGCUCGUGUGUGGGAUGAAGUGUUAAUAAGGGAGAUAUUUUGGCCGGCCAACACGGAAAGGAUUCUCAAAAUCCCUUUGGAAAUUGGGAUGAUGGAGGACUUUGUCUCUUGGCACUACGACAAGAAUGGGACCUUCACAGUUAAAUCAUCUUAUUACCGAGAGUGGGAUCAUCAACACAGCCGAAAGCUUAGAAUCACGAGCUCAAAUGAUUCAUCUAUGAAGAAUCCAGUUUGGAAGGCAUUAUGGGAAUUGAAACGCCGACAAAAGUGA